GCAGGAGCAAGAUUUCCUAUGGUUCUGAAGAUCGAAAGCAGCUUGGCAAGGGUGCAAUGAAGCAGACGUACGGGCUGGAACAAACAUGAAAGGAGUUCUGCAGCAGCACUUGGGUGACUUUGUGAGAUCUCGGAAAACAUCCGCCAGGUCCUGUGUUGUUGUCUUUCAAGGCCAAAAGACCAACCCAGAUCCAACCAUCCAAAUCUAUGGUUCUUCAGAUGUUGCAGGAUCACAACUCCCAUGAGCCAAGCUGGUUGGGCAUGAUGGGGCUCAUAGUCCAGCAAAAGUGUAGCAUCCCCUAGCAUAGUCUUUGCCCUUAAAUUAUCUUGCAUGCCUCAUCAAAAGACUAAACUAAAAUAGUUGACCCCAUUUUCUGUUUGUUUUGGAAUACAAGCCCGGUGGUUUUGAGACAGUGGAAGACCUGUAUUAUUCCUAAUGCUUGUAAAACCAGCUCUAACUGCACAAGCAUUGUUUUCCAAGUGAUUUCUUUAAUGCCA